AACAAGCCCUGUGAAAAACAAGCUGCUGUCCCUGCUAGAGGCAUCCUGCAAUCCAUGGAUGUUUAUCACCAAGCCAUUGUUAACAUGAGGAUCCAGUAUCUGCUGGAGGAGCCCCACCUUCUGCUACUAUUAUGUUCUUCAGAUGAGUAGAAGAGAGUGGGGAGGCAGAGAGCAGGAAGAAGAAAGGAAGAAUAAUGUCUCGAAAUUGAUGAUGCAUAUCAUAAAUUAUUACUCACCCCAUGUUCCCACCCUCGAGAGACCUCCAAACAAUCACCAUGCCACAGUGAACAUUCAGUAACAAAAAUUCAGCCAGGGUUUUCACCAGCAUGAAUGGCAGUGAUUCCAAUUAGGAAAACAGAAAGAGGAGAGUUCAGAGCCACCUAGAAUGGCUCUUGCAAGAUAGGAAAUCAAGGCAGCAGCAACAGGGCUGAACAUUCCUCAUCCCUAACUCUCCCUUCACCAGUAGGAAACCCAGGAUAACUGCAAUCGCCGCAGGCCCAUCUGGCCUGAAGUUCUACUACUAGUAGCCCUCCAUGGGACCUUCUUAAGGAAGCAUGUCAACUCAGGUAAGGGAUGUAAGGGGAUGGAUGACCCUUUGAGACCAAAGUUGCAGCAAAAAACACCAGAUGUUCCUGUGUACUGCUCCUAAGAGAUGGUUCUGAAGACCAGUUCGGGGAGAGGUCAAAAUACUGGACAGAAUCUCAGCAACAUGGAACCUCAAACUAAGUGACAGUCACAGACAACUCUUCCCCAGAGAAAAUAAGCACAGACAUGGUUUGUGGUAAGCAGAAUUAUAAAGAUGAAUUCCCAUCUCCCUGUCAGAUUACCAGUAUGGUAAAUUACCAGAUUACCUGGUUAUUUAUUCAAACACUAAUACAGUUAUUGCCUUGAUGGAAACAUACAGAUGCAAUUAAAAUCCCAAGUACCAAAUAAAUUGACCUUAAGACAAAGACUAAGUAAAUCACAUGAGCCCUCUACAAGCAGAGAGUUUUUCUCCAGCUGGUAGCAGAAGCCAGAGAUUUGAAGCAUAGGAAGUAUUCAACACAUUAUUGCUGGCCUGAAAAUGGAAGGGGCCACAUAACGAGGGAAACCGGGGGCCUCUAGAAGCAGGGAGCAGUCCCCUGCUGACAGACAGCAAGCCAAGACCUCAGUUCUACAAUUGCAAGACACUUAAUUCUGCUAAGGACAAAAAUGAGCUUGGAAGUGAACUCUGAGCUUCAGGUGAAAACACGGCCAAACAACACCUUGAUUUCAGCUUAAACAAAGAAUGCAGCCACUCCAUGCCAGAAUUCUGACCUGUAGAAAUUUGAGCUAAUAAAUAGAUGUUUUAAUAGCUUCAUUGAUACAUACUUCACUUACUGUAAAAUUCAUUAUUUUAAAGUGUACAAUUCAGUGGUUUUCAGUAUAUCCACAAAAUGCAACCAUCACCACUAUCUGAUUUCAGGAUUUCUUUUUCUUUUCUUUUUUUUUAAUCCCAUAAAGAAAAUCCAAACCAAUUAGCAGCCUUUCUUCCUUCUCCCUGCUCCCAGACCAUGAAAACCACUAAAUUACUCUCUGUUUCCAUGGAUAUGCCUAUUCUGGAUAUUUUAUAUAAACCAAAUCAUGCAAUAUGUGGCCUUUUGUAUUUGGCUGCUUGCACUUAGCAUAAUGUUUUAAAAAUCCAUCCAUGUUGUAGCAUUUCUCAGUAUUUCAUUCCUUGUAUAGCUGAAUAAUAUACCACACAAAUAUAUCACAUUUUGUUUGUCCAUUCAUCAUUUAAUAGAUGCUUAGGUUUCUCCAUUUUUUAACUAUUAUAAAUAAUAUUGCUUUUAAUAUUUGUGUACAAGUUUUUCUGUAGGCACAGGUUUUCAUUUCUCAUGGAUAUACACCUAGAGUGAAAUUGCUGGGUCAAAUAGCGGCUCUAUGUUUAACAAUUUGAGGAACAGCCAAACUGUUUUUUGAAAUGGCUGCAUUAUUUUACAAUUCUGUCAACAAUGUAUGAGGGUUCCAAUUUCCUGACGUCCUUGCCAACACUUGUUAAUGUCUGCUUUUGUAUUUUAGGCACCCUAGUGGGUAUGUCAUAAUAUUGCAUUGUGAUUUUGAUUUGCAUUUCCCUAAUGGCUAAUGUUGUACAUCUUUUAUAUGUGCUUAUUGGCCAUUUGUUUAUGUUCUUUAGAGAAAUGUUCUGUUCAAACACUUUGCCCAGGUUUCAACUGGACUAAUUAUCUUUUUAUUGUUGAGCUGCAAGAAUUCUACAUGUAUUCUGGAGUAGUUGUUUAUCAGAAAUACAAUUUGCAAAUAUUUUCUGUCACUGUAUAGGUUGUCUUUUUACUUUCUUGAUAGUGUUCUUUGAAGCAAAAAAGUUUUUUUAUUUUCUUGAACCCCAGUUGAUCUAUUUUUUUCUUCUUUUGCCGCUUGUACUUUCGGUUUUAUAGCUAAGAAACCAUUGCUUAAAUCAAGGUCACAAAGAUUUACACCUCUGUUUUCUUCUAAGAGAUUUACAGCUUUCUUUUUUUUUUUUUCUUUUUUGAUAGAGAAAGGAUCUCACUAUGUUGGCCAGGCUGUUCUCAAACUCCUGGGCUCAAGUGAUCCUCCUGCCUCAGCCUCCCAAAGUGCUGGGAUUACAGGCAUGAGCCACAACGCCCAUCCAAGUUUUAUAGCUUUAGAUGUUGCAUUUAGAUCUUUGAUCCAUUUUGACUUUAUUUUUAUAUAUGGUGUGAGAUAGAGGUUUGGCUUUAUUCUUUUGCCUGUAGAUAUCCAGUUGUUUCAAGCCACAAUGAGAUACCACUUCACACCUACUAGGAUGGCUACAAUAAAAAAAAAAAGACAGUAGCAAAUAUUGAUGAGAAUUUGGAGAAAUUUGAAUCCUUCAAUUUGCUAAUAAGAUGUAAAUUAGAGGAACCACUUUCGAAAACAUUUUGGCAGCUCCUCAAAAUGGGUAUAUACCUGUAAUUUUAUGUUUAAAACAUAACUAAUUUUAUGUUUAAAAUUACUGUUUGACUCAACAAUUCCACUCCUAGGUAUAUACCGAAGAGAAAUGUAAACAAAGGUUUACACAGAAGCUUGUAUAAAAAUGUUAACAGCAGCAUUAUUUAUAAUAGCCAAAAAGUGGAAACAAGCUAAAUGUUCUUCGACUGACGAAUGGAUAAAGAAAAUGUGGUAUAUCUAUAUGAUGGAAUAUCACUCUACCAUUCAACGAAACAAAAUACUGAAUCAUGCUACAGUAUGGAUGAACUUAAAAACAUUAUGCUAAGUGAAAGAAGCCAGACACAAAAGUCCACAUAUUGUGUGAUUCCAUUUAUAUGAAAUGUUCAGAAAAGGCAAAUCUAUAGAGACAGAAAGCAAAUUCGUGAUUGCCUAGCGUGGGGUGCAGAAAAAAGUGGGGAUUGGAGGGUGAUAACUAAGGGGUGCAGGGUUUCUUUGGGGGGUGAUGAAAAUGUUCUAAAAUUAAUUAUGGUGAUUAUGGUUACACAGCGUUAUGAAUAUACUAAAGACCAUUAAAUUAUAUACUUAAAAUGAUUGUAUUGUGUGGUAUAUGAAUUAUAAUUCAAUAGAAUAGUAGAAAAAAACAGGUGACGGAAAGCAUUUGCCUGCAGUCUAUAGUUUUUCUACUCCUGGUAUAGGAGAACAAGAACAAAGAGGUCACUCAGAUUGUUUUAAUUGCCUUUGUACUAAGGAGAAAAAUAAGACCUAUGUCAGGCACAUGGGUAGAUGGUUCCUCAUAAAGUCUUAAGACAAAACCCAAGUAAAUAAAAAUGAGUUUGUAUUUUUCUGA